UAUGAAGAACGCAGCGAAAUGCGAUACUUGGUGUGAAUUGCAGAAUCCCGUGAACCAUCGAGUCUUUGAACGCAAGUUGCGCCUCAAGCCAUUAGGUUGAGGGCACGUCUGCCUGGGCGUCACAUAUCGUUGCCUGAUGCCAGUUUCCUCGUGAUGGGUGACUGUGCAGGGCGAAUGAUGGCUUCCCGUGAGCAUUGUUGCCUCAUGGUUGGUUGAAAAUUGAGUCCUUGGUAGGGAGCGCCGUGAUAGAUGGUGGUUGAGUGACGAACGAGACCCAAUCAUGUGAGACCCCUACCGAAUUUGGCCUUCAUGACCCACAUGCGUCUUUGGAACGCUCAUGACGAGACCUCAGGUCAGGCGGGGCUACCCGCUGAGUUCAAGCAUAUCAAUAAGCGGAGGA
rnacentral:misc_RNA from 1 species